rnacentral:ribozyme from 1 species
UCAAAAGUUCAAGGCCAUAGCAGAAGCUCUCAGAUUGCAGUCCUGUCAGAUUCCAAUGAAUCUGCAAAUUCUGCC